rnacentral:lncRNA from 10 species
UGCUUUCAACACCACAGCAGUUUUCACUGUGCUCUAGAAUGUUCUUUCCCCAUCUUCUCCAUGGUAAAUGGUUGAAAGACAUUUGUUUGGCAGGUUUUUGGGGGUUUUAUUGUAGUUUUUACUAUGAAAAAUUUUAAACAUUAAAAAAGUAGAGAAAAUAAUAUAGUGAAGUUCUAUGUACCUAUCAUGCAGCUUUAGCAGUUAACUGAUUAAUGGCCAGCUCUCACCUAUACCCCAUCCCUUCUCCCAUCUUGGAUUAUUUUGAAAGCAACCCCAAUGUCAGGCCAUUUCAUUUGUAAAUAUUUUUAGUAGGUAUGUCUAAAAGAUAAAAAUUUGUUUUAAAAGAUGCAAAACGAUAUCACAUCUUAAAACAUUUUAACUGAUUCCUUAAUAAAUUAUCAAAUAUCUAGUUGGUUUAGUCACUCAAUUCCCGGUUGUCUCAUACUUUUUAAGCUUCAUUUCUAUUAGGAUUUAAAUAAGGUUCAUUCACUGUGAUUCAUCAGUAUGUCUCUUUAAGUGUCUUUCAACCUAUAGAUUUGUUUCCAUCUUUUUUUCCCCCCUUGCAGUUUAUUUUUGAAGGAACUGGAUCAUUUGACCUUUAGAGUUUCCCAUAAUCUGGACAAUAAUAAUUGUAUUCCCAAGAUAUAUUUCUCUGUCCUCUUUAUUUCCUAUAAGUUGAUCAUUAGAUUUAGAGUAGUGCUAAUAGAAGUAUAAUGUGAGCUACACAAUUUUACAUUUUCUAGUAGCCAUGUCUUUAAAAGUAAAAAAUAGAUGAGAUUAAUUUAAAUAAUAUGGUUUUCUUAAUGCAGUAUAUCAAAAAUAUUAUUUCAACAUGUAAUCAAUAUAAAAAAUUAUUAGUUUACUUUUUUUCAUGCUAAGUCCUUGAGAUUCAGUAUGUAUGUCACCCCUAUUAUAGCACAAGUGCUUGUCAGCCACAUGUGGCUAGUAGCUACUGUAUUAACAACCAGGACUAGAGACUUGAUCAGAUUCCAAUUUGAUUUCUUUUUCUCCCGCCACCAAGACUACAUAAGCACUGUUGUCUUCUUUGAUCAGGAAGCACAAAGGUCUGGUUGACUCCAUGGUGUUCAUUUUGUAAUAUGUAAAGUUUUGAAAGAAGUCUAAGAGUGAAGCCAGGGGGAAACGGGAUUAGGAUACAGGCAUCUGGGAAAGAGACUCAUGCAUGGGGAGAUGAGGGCCAGAAAGAGCUGUUGUCUGCUUACUGUUCCCAUCUUAGCAGGAGGCAGUAUGACUACAAACAGCUUUUCCUGGGCACUGCAGGACAUUGCAGGCAGAGAGUGGGCUCUAGGCAGUGCUGUCUUGUUUUCACUUGAAGGAAGUUUAAAGGGACCUCUUUUUCUUUUUUUGAGACAGUCUUGCUCUGUUGCCUGGGCUGGAGUGCAGUGGCGUGAUUUCAGCUCACUGUAACCUUUUCCCCCGGGGUUCAAGCGAUUCUCCUGCCUCAGCUUCCCAAGUUGCUGGGAUUACAAGUGUGCGCCACCACACCCGGGUAAUUUUUGUAUUUUUAGUAGAGAUGGGGUUUCGCCACACUGGCCAGGCUGGUCUCAAACUCCUGACCUCAAGUGAUCUGCCCACCUCAGCCUCACAAAGUGCUGGAAUUAUAGGCAUCAGCCACCGCACCUGGUAAAGAGAUGUCUUUUAAACACAUCCAUGCUGGUCACUGUCCAAACAAUCGUUCUCAGGGCCAGUAGAACAACUGCAAUCAUAGCAGCAGGGAACAGGUUUGGUUUCCUGUGGCUUCCUGCAGGUAGAAGUCUUAGCACAUUUCCAUGCUUUUCAUCCCAUGUUUGUUUGUUUGAGAUGGAGUCUCACUCUGUUGCUCAGGUUGGGGUGCAGUGGCGCAAUCUCAGCUCACUGCAACCUCUGCCUCCUGGGUUCAAGAGAUUCUCCUGCCUCAGCCUCCCGAGUAGCUGGGACUACAGGCAUGCGCCACCACGCCCAGCUAAUUUUUUUUGUAUUUUUAGUAGACGGGGUUUCGCCAUGUUGACCAGUUUGAUCUGCAACUCCUGGCCUCAAGUGAUUCACCUGCCUCAGCUUCCCAAAGUGCUGGGAUUAUAGGCGAGAGCUGCCUCACCCACGCCUGGCCUUUUUUUGAGACGGAGUCUCACUCUGUUGCCCAGGCUGGAAUGCUCACUACAACCUCUGCCUCCCAGUUUUGUGUAGUUCUCCUGCCUCAGCCUACUGAGUAGCUGGGAGCUAAAGGAAUGUGCCACCACACCUGGCUAAUUUUUGUAUUUUUAGUAGAGACGGGGUUUCACCAUGUUAGCCAGGCUGGUCUUGAACUCCUGACCUCAGGUGAUCCGCCUGCCUCAGCUUCCCAAAGCAUUAGGAUUAUAGGUGUGAGCCACCAUGCCUGGCCUACGUCCCAUGUUUGAAUCUCCCUUUUCACCCCACUCUUUUUGUAUCCAUGUAAUUGUGUGACAGUACCUUAUAUAGAAUCUGGCCUUACUACAUUCUCAUUACAACCAUAACUCAGGCAGGUAGCAAUCCAGAUUCCUUGGCCUGGCUCUGGGCCCUCAUCUCUCCUUGGUGUGGAGUAGUUUCAUUGGUUGUUGGGGUUCCUCUCUGAGGGGAAUGAGGCUCCUUUGGUGCUGUAAAGCUUUAUCAUGAGUGGUAGGUAACUGAGUCACCAGAGCCCCUGCCCAUGAGGCAUGGCUACCUCAUAAUGCAGAUUCACCAAAAGUUCCUCACAAUCUACUGAGAUUUCUGGACCCUCAAAGAUAGGGGAAUAUUUCUAUCCUAGAGAGUUACAAGGCAAAGAGCCCCAGGAGACUGAGGUUCUCUCCUAUUAGUCCCUUUGUAUAUAUAUUUUUUGAGACAGGGUCUUGCUCUAUUGCCCAGGCUGGAGUACAGUGGUGUGAUCAUAGCUCACUGAGGCCUUGAUCUCUUGGGCUCAAGGGGUCCUCCUGCAUCAGCCUCCAAAGUAGCUGAGACUACAGGCACACACUACCAUGGCCAGCUAAUUUUUUAAAUUUUUUUUAGAGACAGAGUCUCGCUAUGUUCCCCAGGCUUCCCCUUGUAUUUUAAUACUUACCCAUCUUCUAGCUUUCCUGUCUUUUUCUCUCCUUUACUUUCUUUCUCAUAUGUCGUUUCUGUUGUCCACCCCUCUUGCCCUUUUCUCUUUUACUCAUGCACACACACUUAGACACAUUCUUCUUGCUCCUUUGCAUUAAAAAUGUAUCUAUUCCAACUUUAUUCCAUAACUUUUUGCUCACACCUGCCUGUGGGUUCUUAGCCUUCAACGUGGGUUCGACCUUAAUAUAGAACAGUUUACAAAGCCUGUAGUCAGCCACGUACUUGCCCAGCUCCUCCAUGUACAGUGACAAUAGAGCAGUGGCCAUUUCCUGACCUACCAGUGACCAUACAAUGGACCAGCAAAUUCACAUGGCAAUUUAGAUCCCAGUUGCCUGGUUUUUAUCACUAGGGUUAGGCCAAGUAUGAGGAUGCAAAAUUCUUUGACUAGUUAUUUCUAAACUACCAGGUCUCCAUUGCCCUCAUUUUAGGAGGAGGGAGAUUGAGGAUACCUGGAAUUACUGGAAUUACUAAGUUAUUUCAUCAUGAUCAUCAAGUAGUGUUCUUUUCAGACAGUUGUAAUUAUGAAGAGAAGAGAUUUGGGUGGAAAGAAACAAAGCAACACGAAUCCAUUUAUCCCCAGGUGAAUUUCAUAAAGAAGUAGAAAAGUUUUUAUCUCAGGCAAAUCAAGAACAAAGUGAUACUAUCCUUCUUGAUUGCAGAAACUUCUAUGAAAGCAAAAUAGGACGAUUCCAAGGCUGCUUAGCCCCAGACAUCAGGAAAUUCAGUUACUUCCCUAGCUACGUUGACAAAAAUCUAGAACUUUUCAGAGAGAAGAGAGUGCUGAUGUACUGUACCGGGGGCAUCCGCUGUGAGCGGGGUUCAGCCUACCUCAAAGCCAAGGUGAGCCACCACCCCGGGGCACUGUGGGCAUGGCAGUGAAGGAGGCAGCUCCACCAGCAGCUUACGUGGAGCUGUCCGCUGCCCCCAGUACUCCCCACCCCCAGGCAGCCAAAGCAUGCCUUCACCCCUCGUAUGGCUCCAGCAUGGAGUUCGUAAGUACAAAAUCUGAGGGUCUUUAAUCUCAAGAUAUGAAAAACACUUAACAGUCAUAGAGACUCAUCAGAUGUAAAAGGGAGAGAUUAGUUAACAUCUCCCUUUUCCUGAUCCUUUUGCUUGAUCCUGAGAAGAGCAAAUUCAGUAACAUUACAUGUCCCAACAGGUGUCUUCCUAUAUUUAGGGGGCAGCAAAAAUAGUUGGGCUUCCCAGGAUCUAGAGGGUGAAGGCCCUGCCUGCUGUCAUCACCCAUCCCCCUAGGAGGCAAGAUCUGGCCAGUUGGUGCCUUGACCCCUUGGUCAGCAAUUCCUCAGUGUCCCGCAGUGGGAGCCAGGAGCCCCUGACUGAUAGCAGCGGCCAUGAGUCCUCUACGUCAGCACUCCUCGC